rnacentral:rRNA from 1 species
ACAGGGAUUGCCCUAGUAACGGCGAGUGAAGCGGCAACAGCUCAAAUUUGAAAUCUGGCUCUUUUAGGGUCCGAGUUGUAAUUUGCAGAGGGCGCUUUGGCUUUGGCAGCGGUCCAAGUUCCUUGGAACAGGACGUCACAGAGGGUGAGAAUCCCGUACGUGGUCGCUAGCUAUCGCCGUGUAAAGCCCCUUCGACGAGUCGAGUUGUUUGGGAAUGCAGCUCUAAAUGGGAGGUAAAUUUCUUCUAAAGCUAAAUAUUGGCCAGAGACCGAUAGCGCACAAGUAGAGUGAUCGAAAGAUGAAAAGCACUUUGGAAAGAGAGUCAAACAGCACGUGAAAUUGUUGAAAGGGAAGCGCUUGCAGCCAGACUUGCUUGCAGUUGCUCAUCCGGGCUUUUGCCCGGUGCACUCUUCUGUAGGCAGGCCAGCAUCAGUUUGGGCGGUGGGAUAAAGGUCUCUGUCACGUACCUCUCUUCGGGGAGGCCUUAUAGGGGAGACGACAUACCACCAGCCUAGACUGAGGUCCGCGCAUCUGCUAGGAUGCUGGCGUAAUGGCUGUAAGCGGCCCGUCUUGAAACACGGACCAAGGAGUCUAACAUCUAUGCGAGUGUUUGGGUGUCAAGCCCGAGCGCGUAAUGAAAGUGAACGGAGGUGGGAACCCGCAAGGGUGCACCAUCGACCGAUCCUGAAGUUUUCGGAAGGAUUUGAGUAAGAGCAUGGCUGUUGGGACCCGAAAGAUGGUGAACUAUGCUUGAAUAGGGUGAAGCCAGAGGAAACUCUGGUGGAGGCUCGCAGCGGUUCUGACGUGCAAAUCGAUCGUCAAAUUUGGGCAUAGGGGCGAAAGACUAAUCGAACUAUCUAGUAGCUGGUUCCUGCCGAAGUUUCCCUCAGGAUAGCAGUAACGUAUUCAGUUUUAUGAGGUAAAGCGAAUGAUUAGAGGCAUGGGGGUUGAAACAACCUUCACCUAUUCUCAAACUUUAAAUAUGUAAGAAGCCCUUUGUUACUUGAUUGAACGCGGGCAUUUGAAUGAAACGUUAUUAGUGGGCCAUUUUUGGUAAGCAGAACUGGCGAUGCGGGAUGAACCGAACGAGGGGUUACGGUGCCGGAGUACACGCUCAUCAGACACCACAAAAGGUGUUGGUUCAUCUAGACAGCAGGACGGUGGCCAUGGAAGUCGGAAUCCGCUAAGGAGUGUGUAACAACUCACCUGCCGAAUGAACUAGCCCUGAAAAUGGAUGGCGCUCAAGCGUGUCACCUAUACCCCUCCGCCGGGGCAAAAUUUACGCCCCGGCGAGUAGGCAGGCGUGGAGGCUCGUGACGAAGCCUUGG